CCCUUAGAUGUUCUGGGCCGCACGCGCGCUACACUGAUGCAUUCAACGAGCCUAUCCUUGACCGACAGGUCCGGGUAAUCUUUGAAUCUGCAUCGUGACGGGGAUAGAUUAUUGCAAUUAUUAAUCUUCAACGAGGAAUGCCUAGUAGGCGCAAGUCAUCAGCUUGCGUCGAUUACGUCCCUGCCCUUUGUACACACCGCCCGUCGCUACUACCGAUUGAAUGGUUUAGUGAGAUCUUCGGAUUGGCGCCACUGCGGCUCAGCAAUGGGCUCGGUGGGUGCCGAAAAGUUGAUCAAACUUGAUCAUUUAGAGGAAGUAAAAGUCGUAACA
rnacentral:rRNA from 1 species